ACGGAAAAAGCGAAACCCAGAGGAAGCCCUUUGCCUGGAAGGGACCCGCCGCCAUCUCAGGUCUCUUGGCCUCGCCAGGGCCCACCGGAGAGAGCUGACACCCAGGUCCUAUAAUCCUUAUGGGGGACCAACCUUGUACCUCCGGGAGAUCCACGCUCCCACCUGGAAACACGCGGGAAACGAAGCCUCCAAAAAAGCGCUGCCUCCUAGCUCCACGUUGGGAUUACCCUGAAGGAACCGCUAACGGAGGUAACACCACUCUCCCUUCUACACCUCCUCCAGCAUCAUCGGGCCUGAAGUCGCAUCCACCUCCUCCAGAGAAGUAGUACAAUAUACUUCUUCCACUCUAAACCAGUCUAUGAGGGAUUGCAGUAUGACUUCAUUUCCUUGGUGUAUUCAUAAAAUAGUUCACUCAGUGAAGACAAUGAAGAUUACUGACAUUGCCACCCUGCUUUUUCUGAUGUCCUGCACCAGGAAGUUGUGAUUUUUAAGUCUUACGAUAUAAUCAUCAAAAUUUCACCUCCUGUAUUUGGAUGGAUUCUGGAACAUGACCAGUAGAUCUCUAAAUUUGAAGACCCCAGCAUGGAUUGUGGUGACCUCACCAAAGCAAAUAAUGCCUGUGAGGUGGUCCUGCAGCAGCCAGUCAAUGCUCUCUUUUGGUGACACUGUCUUUGCUGUAUAACUUUGAAUUCUUAUAAAUCCAUUAAGUUUCCAAUAAAGUUUUUCUCUCA